ACUGUUCAGAGCACCUAAGUCCUCUGUCGUUAUCAUUAACAAAAUCUUCCCAAAUAGCGGCCAAGGAAAAGAAUCCACUCCAGGGGCUAAGAUGGCGGUGGUGGAAAGGCCAGGACGUGUGUGUCCCAGCUUGAGCUCUGUGUGCUGUGCCAUUAGGUAGUGCCCAGCGCUAUCUUCUCUUAGAAGAGAACUCACAGCGGGUCACGGAUUGUCAAGUAUCUCAUCAAAAUGAAAAACCAAAAACAAAUGUAGAGCUAACAUUGGGAGACUGUUAUGCGUUGACUGAGCUUCUUACGGGCCCGACCCUCCCUCCUUACCUCCUCUCCUAGUCCUUUGGGCUCACUUUUCCAGGAAGAGUAAAGGCUUACAAAGUAAAGUAGGAGGAGAAGGAAGCGCUGGCAAUGGGCAGUAGGCUCUUGGAGCGAGGAUGGAAGAGGUAUUAGGAACCCCAUUGGUCCUUGCCCCAGUCCCUACGACUACCUCUGCUCUUGGUUACCAAGUUCUCCUACCUAUGACUUACCACCUCCACACCCUUUCUGGGUUCCAGUCCCAUGCCCCGCCCCACCCCCCAGCCAUGUGAACUAUAAAAAUUGUCAAGAUGUAAAUAUCUGGUUCUUCUGUAUAAUAAAGCACCUAUGAAGUACCA
rnacentral:lncRNA from 1 species